UUUAGGUUGGGGCGACCACGGAGCACAACCAAACCUCCACGAUGAACGGAACAACCCCCUUAUCUGAGAAUUACACUUCUAAGAAUUAGCACACUAACAUAAAAUGACCCAUUAUUGAUCAACGAACCAAGUUACCCUGGGGAUAACAGCGCAAUCCAUUUUAAGAGCCCCUAUCGACAAAUGGGUUUACGACCUCGAUGUUGGAUCAGGAUAUCCCAGUGGUGCAGCAGCUGCUAA
rnacentral:rRNA from 1 species